AGAAAACAGCCCACAGCUCUACAGAGAGAAUGAAAGUGCCUGCCAAAGCCUGGGAUUAAACUAGAGACCUUCAGAUCUUCAGUCUAACACUCUCCUAACU